CAACGUUCGGCAUACUCAUCGGCAGCGCAAGCGGCAAACUGAAACAAGAGACGGGCCAGACGGCGACACAAGACACAACCAAAAACAUGUGCACGAGGCUGAAGCUCGGGGCCGGCGGCAAUGGAUAAAUACGAUCGAGCGACACCGGUCCGCCCUUCCGGGGCACAACAUUUACUCAAAAAAAUGAAGAGACAUCCAUUUAAAUUUUUUUUUUUGAAUUCCUUCCAGACGACGUUCGAGAAGAGUGGAUCCCGCUUGACAGCGCUUUUUGGGAAGAGAUCGGCCCCCUUUGAUUAACUAAGUGCAUUGUGCCACCCGAUCUUGAAGACAGAGGAGAACGCUGUCUCACGACCUUACUUGCCCGUUCGUUAUGGAAGGCUGCUGGAGCUGCUGUCACAUUACGUUAUUUAUCCGGUUGUCAGAACGGGCAGCAGCCAACGAAGCGGUUGACAAACGCUUACAAACUCUUUCAGGGUCUCCCCGAGAUCCAAAAGGCAGAAGAUAGUCCAUUUAUGACCCAGCAUGCACGGUGUGAGAAGAUGGGGGAAAAUUAGCGAGAGGGCGCCUGGGGCUGCUGAAAGGGAUGCAGGAUGAUGAACGGAAAUUCAUGGUCGAAGAUUGUUGUGCUCUUGGAUGCAAAACGGUUAUUAAU
rnacentral:sRNA from 1 species